AUUAAGAGUUUGUCAUGGCUCAGGACGACGGCGUGCCUAAUACAUGCAAAGUCGAGCGCGGGAAGCAAGCUGAUCCCUUCGGGGUGACGCUUGUGGAACGAGCGGCGGACGGGUGAGUAACACGUGGGCAACCUGCCCUGUAGAUGGGGAUAACCCCGGGAAACCGGAGCUAAUACCCAAUAAUACGAAGGAGUGCAUACUUCAUCGUUAAAAGUUGGCUUUGGCUAACACUACAGGAUGGGCCCGCGGCGCAUUAGCUAGUUGGUGAGGUAAGAGCUCACCAAGGCGACGAUGCGUAGCCGACCUGAGAGGGUGAUCGGCCACACUGGGACUGAGACACGGCCCAGACUCCUACGGGAGGCAGCAGUAGGGAAUCUUCCGCAAUGGACGAAAGUCUGACGGAGCAACGCCGCGUGAGUGAGGAAGGUCUUCGGAUCGUAAAGCUCUGUUGUUAGGGAAGAACAAGUACCGUUCGAAUAGGUCG
rnacentral:rRNA from 1 species